AUGACAAACAUUAGCAAAGAGUCUGCACACAGUGCUGAACGACCAUUGCUGCAAUCACCCACAUCACGGCUAUCUGUCAAGCACGUCGUGGAGGUCAUGUAGAGUUUCGAUGAGUACAAGUGAUAUCUUGUUAAGAGCAUUGGGUUUGGCGGAAUGCUUGAUCUCCAACUGCAUCAGAAAUUAAAUCUCAAAUUCAGUGCAUGGACAAUGAGCAAAGUUAGCACCCACUGACGGGCCAUUGUACUGGCUGAGAACAAAAUACUGAAGUUUUGGCCAGAAGAUGUUCACAAAAUUUUUGGUAUCCCAUGUGGGUACCGGAAUAUCAAGGGUCGUGAUGGCCACAUCAAACCAGAAGCCAUCAAGUUUAUAAAGACUACUUUGGGGAUGGACAAAAAAGGAGUUCACAGUCUGGGUGCAGCUGAAGAUUUCCUUAAGAGGGAUAUUUCUGAAUCAUCAAGCAAGCUCGAGAAGGAUUGCUUCCAAAUUGCCUUCGUUAUUUUUGUCAUGGGUCACGUCCUUGCGCCCAGCACCAAGCAUGAUUAUGGUAGUAUUGAUUUUUAGGGAGCGUUGGUGGACACUGAAAACAUAGGCCAAUUCAAUUGGUGCGAGUACAUGGUUCAAUGCAUGCUUGCUAGUGUUAGGAGGCUCAAGACUGAUAUUAGGUCCGGCAACAUGGCAACCAACCUAGUAGGAUGCCACCUCUUCCUGUAG
rnacentral:rRNA from 1 species